UGCGGCAGCGACGCUGAUGCGUUGUUGGGUAGGGGAGCGUUCUGUAAGCCUGCGAAGGUGUGCUGUGAGGCAUGCUGGAGGUAUCAGAAGUGCGAAUGCUGACAUAAGUAACGAUAAAGCGGGUGAAAAGCCCGCUCGCCGGAAGACCAAGGGUUCCUGUCCAACGUUAAUCGGGGCAGGGUGAGUCGACCCCUAAGGCGAGGCCGAAAGGCGUAGUCGAUGGGAAACAGGUUAAUAUUCCUGUACUUGGUGUUACUGCGAAGGGGGGACGGAGAAGGCUAUGUUGGCCGGGCGACGGUUGUCCCGGUUUAAGCGUGUAGGCUGGUUUUCCAGGCAAAUCCGGAAAAUCAAGGCUGAGGCGUGAUGACGAGGCACUACGGUGCUGAAGCAACAAAUGCCCUGCUUCCAGGAAAAGCCUCUAAGCAUCAGGUAACAUCAAAUCGUACCCCAAACCGACACAGGUGGUCAGGUAGAGAAUACCAAGGCGCUUGAGAGAACUCGGGUGAAGGAACUAGGCAAAAUGGUGCCGUAACUUCGGGAGAAGG
rnacentral:rRNA from 1 species